rnacentral:rRNA from 1 species
GUGGGGAAUAUUGGACAAUGGGCGAAAGCCUGAUCCAGCCAUGCCGCGUGUGUGAAGAAGGUCUUCGGAUUGUAAAGCACUUUAAGUUGGGAGGAAGGGUAGUAACCUAAUACGUUGCUACUUUGACGUUACCGACAGAAUAAGCACCGGCUAACUUCGUGCCAGCAGCCGCGGUAAUACGAAGGGUGCAAGCGUUAAUCGGAAUUACUGGGCGUAAAGCGCGCGUAGGUGGUUCAGUAAGUUGGAAGUGAAAUCCCCGGGCUCAACCUGGGAACUGCUUUCAAAACUGCUGAGAUAGAGUACGGUAGAGGGUGGUGGAAUUUCCUGUGUAGCGGUGAAAUGCGUAGAUAUAGGAAGGAACACCAGUGGCGAAGGCGACCACCUGGACUGAUACUGACACUGAGGCACGAAAGCGUGGGGAGCAAACAGGAUUAGAUACCCUGGUAGUCC